GAGGACAGCUCUAUAAGGCAAGUAUUUAUUUACCAGGCUAUUAAUGUAUCAUAUGCUUUAUGAUGAUUUAUAAGUUCUUUACUAUGAGAGUGGUGAGGUGCUGAAACAGCUGCCCAGAGAGGCUGUGGAUGCCCUGUCCAUCCCUGGAGGUGUUCAAGGCCAGGUUGGAUGGGGCCUGGACUGGUAUUAAAUGUGGAGGUUGGCAGCCCUGCAUGUGGUGGGGUGAUUGGAGCUUCAUGAUCCUUGAGGUCCCUUCCAACCCGGGCCAUUCUGUGAUUCUGUGAUCCCAUGCCAUGUGACAUUGCAUGGAACUGUAAAAUGGAGGGAGUUGGCUGGAGGCAGUUGGCUGGAAGCAGAUGCUGCUGGGCAUGGGUUGCUGGAUGGUGAGUAAUUGUGUUGGGCAUCACUCGUUUUGUGUAUUUUUCUUGAUGAUGAUUUUAUUUUUUUUUAUCUUUUUUUUUCCCCUUGCUUAUUAAACAGUCCUUAUCUCAGCCCCCAAGUUUCUGCACUUUUGAGCCCUCUCCCCAACCCCAUUGGCGUGGGAGUGAGUGUGGUGCUCAGCUGCUGCUGGGUUAAACCACAUCAGCUUUGUCUUCUGCACAGCGAGUCUUUCUGAAAGGCACAACUCAGGAACUGCUCGAGAGAGGGCUUCUUCGAAGAGAAAAAGAAAUAGCAACAUGGAAAAGACUGCAGAAUCAACAGCAGUUGUGGUGGAGAAAAUAAACGCUGUUGGCUCUUCCUGAGCAUUUUCAUUCAUGAGACACAGCGCAGUUCAACUUUUAAAUCAAGUCAGCUCAUACAAUUUCAUGGUGGUCAAAUAGGAGAGAGACUUCUACAGCAUGGAGGAUUACGGGUGGGUAAGUGGCUGUCUGUCCCCUACCAGAAAGGAGAGAGAGCCUCCAGCUGAUGAGCAGAUUGUCCCCAUGGGUAGCAGCGUGUGGCUUGGGAAGGUCUGGGGACUUGGGCUGGGGUUUGUAUGCUCCUGUUUGGGGAGCUCAGAGGGUGCAGGGCUGCUGGGAUCCUUUUCUCUUUAAAUGCUGUCUGGGUUUGCGUGGGGAUUGUUCUCUGUCAGAAACCAAAGAACAAGUGAUUCUUGCAAUGACAAGUUCAAUAAAUGUAAAAUAUUGGUUUCUUUCCUAGCCUUGAAUAGAUACUUAGAGACCAACUUCAGUCAAGCCAGAGUGGGAAAGCGUCUUUUCAAAGAGACAGGCGAGAUUAAAGUAUAUUUCCUGAAUGACAAAGUUUGUGUGAUAGUGGCAAUUACUCUUCAGCCUAAGGGCUGGUUUGAAUUUAACUUCUGUUUUUGUUAUACGGAACUACAGUGCUCUGUGGGAUGAAAUACAGAGAAUUCUGAUUUCUCCUAGGCUGAAAUCUCU
ensembl:lncRNA